UAAACCUCAUUAUAUAUUUUUUUUAGUUAAUAAGAGCUUAUUCAGAUUUUUCCAAUUGUCUCAAUAAUAUUCUUUAUAGCCAAAGAAAAUUCAAGAUGGGGGAUUGUCAUAGUCCAUGAUGUAUUGUGUCCAUUUGUCAGGUUUUUUGAGUUUUUAAAUCUGGGACAGUUCCUGGGUCUGUCUUUGAUUUUCAUGGCAUUUAUAUUUUCGAAGAGCACAGCUCAGUUAUUGUGUAGGUUUUCUCUCAGUUUGGGUUCCUGUGAUGGUUUUUCAUGAUUUGAUUCAGGUUAUGCCAUCCAGGCAGGAAUGUCACAGAAGUGAUGCCAAGUUCCUCUCAAUGCAGCAUAUCGGGAAGAAGAUGUUGUCACUUGGUGUCAUAACUGGCCAGUGUUGAUUCUGAUUACUUGGUUAAGAAAGUUCUGCCAGGUUUGUCCAUGGUAAAAUUGCUAUUUGCUCUUUGUAUUUCAGAAAGCUCUUGUGGGAAGGUACUUUCAGACUCUGUAAAUAUCUGGCUGCUUCUCAGAAUUUCAUGCCCUACAUUCAUUGCUGAUUCCUGCUUGAGUAAAUUAUUAUUAUGAUUGUUGCCAAAUGAUUAUUUUCUUAUUCUUUCAUUCCUUAUAUUAGGCAUUAAUAAAUAAAACCAAAACAAAGAAGGGAGAAGGGAAAUCUUAUAAUUUUGGUAGGCAAAUGCCCCCAGAUUUGGCCAGUGGUAGCCAUUUCAAGCUGACUUCAUGUCGUUUUGGUCUCUUCCCAUUAUACUUUAAGCACUUCCUUACCUUCUAGCAAAAAACAAUGUUCCAAGCUUAUCUUGUAUUUUCUCUGCCCCAUCUCUGAUAUCAGCUAUGUUUUUAGAAGCCCUGAUUCCUUUUAAGGGAGAAUGAUAUUUGGAAACCAUGAUCUAGGCAUGUGUUGUGGCAGGUGUGCAUUUGGCUAUUGGGGUCAUCCUUGCUCACAAGCUUCCUCUAUGAGCAAAGCAGGGAGCACAUGUGUAUGCAUAAAUACACAUACAUGCUUACAUUAGUCUAUAUUUCUGUAUCAAAAUAUAUUGAAAACUGUGAGUUCUUACUGACAUUUCCAAUUCGAGUUCUAAAGAGUUCAUUCUACUUUUCCAUUUCAGUACGGUUCAGCCUUGAACAAUGUGGGGGCUAGGGACACUGAACCCCUGUGCAGUUGAAACUCUGCAUAUAACUUUGAACUCCCCAAAGAUAUAACAACUUGAAGUCUUACCAAUAACAUAGUCAAUUAACAUAUAUUUUGUAUGUUCUGCAUAUCAUAGACUAUAUUUUUAUACUAAAGUGAGAGAAAAAAUGUUAUUAUGAACAUCAUAAGGAAGAGGAAUACAUGUAUACUACUGUACUGUAUUUGUUGAUACAUUAAGUUUACAUCUUCUGUUUACAAGAUGAAUGUCUGUCAUGACAUUUUUUUCUGCUUCUUGGGAGCACUUACAGCAUCAUAGUGGAAUUUCAUAUAGGUCCCAUGGUGUUAUUCAAAGUUUAUGGUAUUGCAAUAACAAUGAUGAAGAAUACAUGAGAACCACGAGAGAUCACUUUUUCUGUAAAGACAGAGGGCUCAGUUGGAGAUGAUUAGUGUCAUGUGGCAUUUUAAGUGGAUAUUUGAAACAUUUAAGCUUACUGUGAUAGCAACAGGCGGUGGUUUCAAAAUUAUUACAGUAGUACAGUAUAUGCUAUAGUUAAUUUUAUGCAGUUACGAUUUAAUAUUGUAUCUUUACAUUUGUUUGCAUUUCUCUCCACUACAAAUGGCACCAUGUAGCCUGUGUGCCCCAAUUGUGAGAAAUGUAUACUUUUUAUAAUAGAUUGUGUAUAUUUUGUGAUAGUAAAUGAUAAAAUAGACUAAUAUCUAUAAUAUAUAUUUCAUACAUUCAUGACAUACCUUUUUUUAAAUUUUGUUGAUUAUCUCUAUGCUAUGUGGUUCAUCUGCAAAAUUUUUCCAGUUGUGGUAAACCUCCAAAAAUAUUACAUUAUAUUUAUUGGGAAAUAUCUGCAUAAAAGUGAACCCAUAGAGUUCAAACCAUGUUGUUCAAGGGUCAAUUGCAUUUAUAAUUCCCUUUCCUGACAGUAACCUUUCUGUCUUCAUCCCGAGUAUAUGGUAAGUGACCUAUAACUGUUAGCUAUGGUGGCCACGAUGAUAAUGUAGAACCAUCUGAGUGAUUCAAUUCCUCAAACAUUUUCUGAGUGCCUGUAGAGGCUAGAAAGGUCUCUUGUCCCAGCCCUAGGGAGAAGUAAACCAGGAAGUUGUCCAAACUGUAUUCUAUAUAUUUGUAGCUAAGCCCAGUUGGGGACACCCAGCUCCUGUCCUCUGAGCUUUCAGGAAGGUCCUCCUGAGGACAUUGGGUGGUCCCUUCACCCUCUUGAAUUCCCAUUCUUUAUCUUGUCCUCAGAUAACGUCGGACACACCUACUGCCCAAGGACACCUGGGGUAAGAGGUUGGGGGAGGAAGGACUGGGAAGGGGCAAUUUAAAGCUAAACCCUAGCAGGAUGAGGAGUAGUAGAGGCAGAGAGAGAACUAUCUGCAACCACAGUGGAGUUCAUAGCAUUUCUGAGAAUACAAGCCACAAGAAGUAAGUGUAUGUAAGUAUGAAGUAGAGGAGAAGACGAGUUGUUAGAAGGGUGGUUCUUGAAGGACUUCCAGAAAGGGUAGAGCUUGAGCUCAGUCCAAAGGAUGAACAGAAGUCCCAGUGGGCCAAGAUGAGCAAAUACUUGUAACAAAACCCUUUCCUCCCUCCACAACCUGUACCAAGGUCUUCCUUGGGUCCUUUCUUUGUUUUGCCACCUGACAAGGUGUUUUUGCCCCCAAGGAGGAAAGCUAGGAGCUUGCUUCUCUAAGACCCCUGCCCUCACCUCACGCCCAUUUCAGACUCCUAUGAAGGAUGCCACUGCGGUGAGGAGAGAAGAGACCACUCAUCAGUGCUAUGUGGCAGCACAGCCUGGCAUCAGGAGGCCUGAGGGUCUGCAGGAUCUUGGGGUUUCACUUUCCACAUCGGUAAAAUGAGAAUAAAAUGGCACCUGACUGCUUACCUGGAGAGCAUUUAUAGAAAGCAUACUCUACGCUGGACUCCUGUGGAGCAGAAGCGUACAACUGGAACCAUUCUUUUGGCACCCCUUCCAAAUCCAAGCUGAAUUGCAUCCUACUGUUCCCAAGGUGUACUUGCUGACCUGUUGACUCGUGAAGCAGCUUUCCAAGCCUCAUGCCAGAACCAACUCUCUUGGAUAGACACUUUUGUUCCCAUUUGGAAGAUGAUGCAGUAGAGGCCUGGCCAGUUUCCUGAUGUGCUCAUCAUCAGGUAGCUAAGAACUGUAGAAUAGGACUUCAUUACCCAGAUCUCUGAGUCCAACCCCAAUGCUCUUUCCAGGAAAGGCUUGCCUUUUGACUUCAUGUGCCAACACCAGUUAGCUCAGUGGGUAGGCUCACAUUAUUUCAGUAGUGCUGAGACCCCUAUGCAGGCCCCAGCUCCUGGCUGAGUAUGUGGGUGCUUGGGCACGAGUUGCACUUCCAGUUCUGCCUGUUUCGUCUGGAAUGCUGGGCCAGGUGACUGAGAAGUCAGCUUCUGGGGAGUGCAAUAGGAAGUUACCAUCCUUGUGCCAUUGAUGGUAAAGCUAAGUGGAACUGGGAUUCAUUCGGGCCCAUGCAGUCUGGAGGAGAGUUGCGUGGGGUGCUUUCCACCUCUGGGUGGCCCCAGCAUCACUAGCCUACCUGGGAAAGCAGCAGACAUGGAAUCUCUCAUUUCCCAAGGGCCACUCACAGGGCUGCCCAAGGACAGGCUUAGGGAAGGGAUUCUAUCUUACGCCUUUAAAGUCAAUGCCAGUUUUCUCAAGGAAUCAAGAUGGCUCUACCAUUCAAGCAGAUCCCAAAUCCCACCUCUUGUCACCCCUCCACUGCUACCAGCAGGUCCUAGCCACCGUCCUAUAUCUGCUAGCUGACUCUAGUAGCCUCCAACAGGCCUCUGCGUGUCUGUCGUUCCAUCCCUCUGCAUAGUACACUCUUAACAGAGAAAUCAGGAUGAUGGUGUCACUCUGCUCAAAUCCUGCCUGGCUCCCCAUUUGUGGCUAAGAAAAGCCCAAGCUUAAGUGGCUUACUAGGCCCUGCAUCAUCUGUCCCAGUUGUUCUCUGCCCAUCCCCUCCCCUGCUCACUCCACUCCAUCAGUCCUCUGUGCCAGACACACACCCCUCUGGGCCUUACUAUGGCUGAUCCUUUUGCCUGGAAGCCUCUUUCCCCAGAAACCCACUCAGCUAACUUUCUCUCCCUCCUCCUUCCAGUCUUUGCUGAGAACUUACCUUCUUAGCAAGGCCCACCCUGGCUACCCUGUUUCAUACAGCAGUCAGCCCCACUCUGCCCCACCACUCUUGAUGCCCUCCCUCCUCUUCUUCUGUUUCUUUAGUAACACACUUUCACUUUCUGCUCACUUAUGUUGAUGGCUUACUGUCUGUGAGGCCAGGGACUCUGCCCAUCUCGUUCACUACUGUAGCCCUAAGCCAGUGCCUUGACGUGUGGUAUGCACUCAUUAAAUGUGUGGGGUGAACUGGAUCUAGAAGGCUGGAUGAUAAUGAUCCCUCCUUCAUUGUACUGGAUAAGAAUUACAUCAAUACAUCAAGAGCACUGAGCCUAGUGCUCCUGGUAAGUGCUCAGUGAAUAUUCUUAUGGUCAAUAUGUUAAAAUGAAUGGAUUAGAAAAAUAAAAGACACAUGGGGUCAUCUCCACUGGAAGGGGGCAAGGGUGCUCCUACCCUCUUCUUCCUGUUGCUAGGACCUGGGGACCCACCCUGUGAGUGGGACCUUAGCUGGUAGAGACCUCCCCACACAGCUGCCUUCUUAGCCCUUGUCUUCCCCCAACGUGGUGGGUGGGGGGCUCAUCCAACAGCCCUUCCUAGAACAGCCUCAUAUAAAGGAACUUGGAGGUCAGCUAGUUCAACCCCUGUGUUUGUUUCAUAGGGGACACCAAGGGUCCAUGUGGGAAAGGACAUGAUGGAGGCCUGAUGCCAGCUCUAGGUGCCUUUCACUGUACCUCCACCAAAUGCAUACGUGGAAUACCAAAGCAGGAAUCAGCAUCUCUCAAAGGACUUCUUUUAAAAACCCAAUUUGUGAAAAGUUUUAAUAUGGAAAGCCUUACACAGCAUUUUAAAUCUUUGUGUUUAUAUUAAAUCACCUUUGUUGCAAAGAAUAAAAUAAAAAG